GACGAACGCUGGCGGCGUGCUUAACACAUGCAAGUGGAGCGACGAACCCUUCGGGGGGCAAAGCCGCGAACGGGUGAGUAACACGUGGGUAACCUGCCCCGAUGACUGGGACAACCCGGGGAAACCCGGGCUAAUACCGGAUGAUGUGCACACACUUAGGUGUGUUCACUAAAGGUAGCUUCGGCUUCCGCAUUGGGAGGGGCCCGCGGCCCAUUAGCUUGUUGGUGAGGUAACGGCUCACCAAGGCAACGAUGGGUAGCUGGUCUGAGAGGACGAUCAGCCACACUGGGACUGAGACACGGCCCAGACUCCUACGGGAGGCAGCAGUGGGGAAUCUUGCGCAAUGCGCGAAAGCGUGACGCAGCAACGCCGCGUGAGGGAAGACGGCCUUCGGGUUGUAAACCUCUUUCAGUAGGGACGAAGGCCGGCCGGUGAAUAGCCGUGUCGGUUGACGGUACCUUCAGAAGAAGCUCCGGCUAACUACGUGCCAGCAGCCGCCGUAA
rnacentral:rRNA from 1 species